GCUGUAUGAGAGUUCAUCUCGUUAAUAUCAUAUCAUCAGCUUGAAUAAAAUUUAAUACUUCUGGACUUGUAUACAAGUAAGUCAUGCACUCUCAAUUUUGAUCAUUUCUGUCAAGUUCGCAGUACCAUAUGAAGUGUUCUAAUUCUGGGGACUGCCAAAAAGCUUGCACCUUUUAAUUAGUUUUUCCAAAAUAGACACCCCUUUUUUAGUUGUUCAGUUUGGCAGAAAUGAAAGGAGGUUAAAACUUUUACGAAGAUAUAGAUAGAAUUUCUGCAGCUGCGACAGAUGGAGCUGUUUAAUAUGAUCUACUCAUGUAAUGAUCCUCUUGUGUUUGAGAUGCUUGUCUUCAUCAAUCAAAUACAUAUUGGAUGCAUCAUAAGCUCAAGUCCACCAAAUGUGCAGCUGCUUGAUCAUCUUGGAUCUCAUGCUCAGAUCUUUUCACUUGAUGAGUCUCCCAUUAAUGGGGGACAUGCUGCUGCAGAUGAUGGAAUUGGGCCGAAGAGGCUUUCACACGCAUGUCAAUGUGACAAGGAUGAUCUGUGCAUGCAGGAAUAAUCCAUUUAUGAUAUACAGAGUGUGGCCCCUCUCUGAGCCGCUCACAUUGAAUUUUGCCAUGGAUUCUGUGUUAUGACUCGGGAUGUAGACGAGCUUCAUUUGAUUACCUGUUGCCAUUAGCACUCAAACGUAAGCAAAGUUCAUAGGAAUGUAAUUCUUGGUUCAAACUGUUUUGUAGACGCAAAACAAAGAAGAGGUGUUACAUCAACAUUUUCUUAUGGAUCUAAUUAUCACCCUCCAUAAAUAAGAGUGAUUAAGAUCAGGAGUGAAUCGAGAUUAAUAAUUUUUCUAGUAUCCAAUAAAUAAAAAAUUAUGUAUUUUUAUUUAAUUAUAGACAUUAUCUUGUACAAAACUCGAGAAUUGAUUUUAAAUAAUUGUUAUUAUUUUUGUAAAUAAAAAGAUCUAUUGCUCAAAAGAUAAUGUGUUAUUUAUAGAAAUGUAAGUUUGACUAGAAAUCCCACCACGAGAGAUUUCUUGAAAUAUAUUAAAAAUUAAUUAUUUUGAUCAUCUUGGCUAAACAAAAAAAUGUUGGUAAAAGGAAAACUUAGGUACUAAGAUAUCAAGUUGGUAUCAUCAGCAAGAAUUGUAUAAAUUAGAGAGUCCAAUUGAUAUAGAUGAGAAGGUAUGACAUGAGAAGAUUAUUAAUAUGGUUUAAUUGUUAAUAAUUCAUAAAUACUAGGUCGUAUUUAAUAUUAUUUCUUAAUUUAUAAAUGUCAUCGGCUCAUGUUAAUCUUUUCUGUAUCGUUCUAAUUUUAUUGGAUGUUUCUAGGUUAUGCUGGGCUUUGACGAAGAUAUCAAGUGAAAAAGUUUAUAAUAUCUUGAUUUAUAGAGUAGACAUAAUUAAGAUUGAUUUAUAAAGAUAUGAUGGACUUACUAUUAUUAAUUUUAACUUAAACACUUUAAUCAAUGGUUUAAGUUUUAAUAGCUCAUUAGUUUGUUAAGAGUAUCGACACAAUGACAGGGAGAUACAUGAUUAAGCUAGUCUCACACAAUGAUAGAGUGAUGCAUGGUUAAUCCCUUUAUGCAAGAUUUACUUUUUUAACAUGAGAUGAUCAUUGUUUUCUUUGUUUUUCAUGAGUAAAGUUAGCAUGUUCUCGAAGAUAAAAGAAAAAAAAAUUGACACGACAAGAGAGGAAUGGUAGCAACAGAUUCUGAACACAAACUAAGAUUCAAAGAUGAUGCAACCUUGCUGUUGCAAAAGUAGAUGAGUAACUUGGCUCUGAUAGCUGGAAUUGAAGGUCUUCCUUCCUCUUGUUCUGCUCAGUUGCAUUAUCAUGUCAAUUUCCAGGAGAGUUUCCCAGCGACUGCUGAUCGCUGUCUUCUUGGUGACCACAAAUCUUGUCUUUCUUUUAUUCGUGUUAAUAAUGGUUGUCUGAUAGCUACAAAUUUCUCCUAUUUAGCAGUUCUUAGGAAAUUCUCAAAACCUUCACAUUCAAGAAGAUGCUGGAGUCUUUAGAUGAAAGCUAUUCCAACUUUGGGACUCGUCAAAAUCAGAAGUCAUAGUUGACUGACUUGAGGAUAGACAACAAUAUGAAAUGAAGAACAAGUGCAUGAUAUUGGCAGACAGCCUAAUUGUUGAAGGUUUCUUGGUCUACUCUUUGAAUCCGUCAGUUGAGUAGUUUCAGACUAACGGAGGAUGAUCCAAACAGGGCAUGAUAAUAAUAUUUUGUGUAUUGCAAGCUGUCCACCGCAGAUUUCUCAUGAUUAAUCUUAAGAUAAGCUGCGUAUUUUUAUUAUCUGUAAUCUAAGAUAAUUGUGUUGGUGUGAGAUGAUCCACUUUGAUCAAGUACACAAUUUCCCUCCCAAUCGAUGGAAUCAUGGUUGUGGUAAUAAUUGUUUUCAGGUGUAUGCAAAAAGGCAAAUCUACCUGUUCUGUGAAAUUUCUUGCCAGUUUCUAUGCACUACCGGUGCCAGAAAUAUGAAAAUCUAAUUAAAUACCUUGACGAAUUAAGCUGCCAUUAUGGUUGUUUUUCUAGUUUCUUGGACUCGUUUUAGACAUUACAAGUGUAUGACACUGGAUUUGCUCAGUAGAACAUCAUGGACGACCUUCUAUCAUUGUCAACCUAGAACAUCGNNNNNNNNNNNNNNNNNNNNNNNNNNNNNNNNNNNNNNNNNNNNNNNNNNNNNNNNNNNNNNNNNNNNNNNNNNNNNNNNNNNNNNNNNNNNNNNNNNNNNNNNNNNNNNNNNNNNNNNNNNNNNNNNNNNNNNNNNNNNNNNNNNNNNNNNNNNNNNNNNNNNNNNNNNNNNNNNNNNNNNNGUGCAGCAAUCAUACUGGGCAUGUCGUCAAGCUGGACCUCCAGAAUCCGCAUCCUUUCUCGGAUUUUGGUGACGAGCCAUACAACAACUGGACCUUAGGAGGUGAGUUGAGGCCUUCUUUACUUGGUCUGAAACACCUGAAGUACCUGGACCUAAGCAUGAACGAUUUUGGAGGCAUUAAUAUUCCAGAAUUCAUGGGGUCAUUCCAUCAACUCCAAUAUCUUAACCUCUCCAGAGCUGGAUUGGGUGGACUCCUGCCUCACCAGCUGGGAAAUCUCUCCAAUCUGCAGUAUCUAGACUUAUCCAAUGACUUGGAUCCCAAUUUUGUGGUUCCGGUCCGUGAAUUUAGCAUUGGUGAUGCACUCUGGAUUUCUCACCUUUCUUCUCUAAAGCAUCUCAACCUGAAGAGUGUUAACUUUCAAAAUGGUACGCACUGGCUGGAAGCUCUGAACAUGCUUCCUUCUAUUCUGGAGAUAUACUUAUCUCUCUGCGAAAUUGGAAGUGUUCCCCACUCUCUUCCGCAUGUGAACUUUACAUCACUGUCUGUUCUUGAUUUGUCCUAUAAUUUCAUUAGCUCUACGAUACCCUCUUGGUUAUUCAACAUAAGUGGCCUUGAGCAUCUUGAUCUUAGUUCGAACAACCUUCAGGGUAAUAUUCCACCGACCUUUGGUAACUUGGCUUCCCUCGAGGAACUUAAUUUAGCUAACAAUCCUCUUCAAGGAGGAAUACCAACUUCCUUCAAAAAUCUGUGCAAGUUGCAGAAUUUAAUAUUGGCAGGCAUCAAUAUCAGCAAAGAUUUGUUAGGCCUUGAUGAAAGUUUUUCUGGUUGCGUCAAGAUGAGCCUAGAGGUUCUAGGCUUAUCCGGCACGAAUAUUAGUGGGCAGUUGCCUGAAUGGUUAUUCCAAUUCAGGAAGCUUAAAUCACUCCAGUUGAAGCAGAAUCUGAUUUCUGGGCCUAUUCCUGUAUCAAUUGGACAACUAGCAUCACUCCAAGAGCUCUUUCUUGGUCAAAAUCAAUUGAACGAAACAAUACCAGAAAGCGUGGGGUGGCUGUCUCAGCUUGUUUCUUUGGACCUUGAGCACAACAAUUUGGAGGGUGUAAUGUCUGAGGCGCAUUUUGGAAACCUCACAGAAUUGAAAGACUUGUAUUUGUCGUCCAACCCCUUGGCUCUAAAGGUCAAGAGCAAUUGGCUUCCUCCCUUCCAGCUUGAAUCCCUUCGGAUGGACUCUUGCAAACAGGGUCCUGAGUUCCCUGCAUGGCUCCAGUCGCAAAAAAAUAUUUCAGAAAUUGUUAUGUCUAAUGCUAGUAUUAUUGAUGCUAUGCCAGACUGGUUUUGGAGCUUAAUUUCCACAGCAGAGUACGUGAGUUUCUCCGGCAAUCAGAUCAGUGGCCACGUACCAAAUUUAUUGCAUUUAAACAACCUCAUCGAGUUGGAUUUAAGUUCAAACUACUUGGAGGGUCCUCUUCCAUAUUUUCCUCCUAGAUUGGAAGCAUUAGAUCUAUCAAACAAUUCAUUUUCAGGAACAAUUUCACUUGCCAUCAUCAUGAAUAUGCUAAACCUCAUGUAUUUAUCAUUUUCAGAAAACAAUUUAAGUGGUGAAAUUCCCUUCUCUAUAUGCAAACUGUCGGUCUUACAGUUUCUUGAUCUUUCAAAAAAUAUGUUAUCAGGAGAGCUCCCCAGUUGCUGGAAUGAUUCUUCCCCAAUUGAAUUUAUAGAUUUUUCAAGCAACAACAUAUCUGGAGUUAUUCCUGAGUCAAUAUGUUCCAUAGCAUCGCUUCAGUCGUUGCACUUGAGCAAUAACAGUCUAUCUGGAGAGCUGCCUUUGCCCUUGAAGGACUGUGGGAAAUUAUACCUUCUUGAUGCCGGAUAUAAUAAUUUGAAAGGUGAAAUUCCAACCUGGAUAGGUGAAAGUUUAACUAGUCUGAGGUUCCUCAAUCUGCGAUCAAAUAUGUUGGUCGGAGAUAUUCCUCCAAAUCUUUCAAGAUUGAGUGCUCUCCAAUUUCUCGACCUUGCGGGUAAUGAGCUAUCGGGUACUAUUCCAAGGAGCUUUGGAAAUUUUACUGCCAUGAAAGUAAUUGAAAAUUUUUCAAGUUCGACGACAGAUCAAAUUAGAUAUAAGGAGCAUAUGUUUAUUACAACUAAAGGAGACACUCAAGACUAUGGGAAGUCACUUUCGCUUAUGAAUAUUUUGGACCUCUCGGAUAAUAACUUAUUCGGAGGAGUACCUAAAGAAGUCACAAGUCUUUUUGGCUUAUUCAGCUUAAAUUUAUCUGGAAACCAUUUCACAGGAGAAAUCACUGAAAGUAUCAGUAAAUUACAACAAUUGGAGUCCCUUGACUUGUCAAGAAACAACUUUUCUGGCACAAUUCCUUCUAGCCUCGCUGCCUUGACUUAUUUGGCUCACUUGAACCUGUCAUACAACAACUUGUCAGGGGAAAUUCCUCUUGGUAAUCAACUUCUGACUUUCAAUGAUCCAUCGAUCUAUAUUGGCAAUCCUGAUCUUUGUGGGUUUCCUCUGAAUCAAAGUUGCAAAGAUAGUGAGACAGCACAAAGUCAAAGUAAUACAGAUGAUAGAGAUGAGAAUGAGAUGAUAUGGUUCUACACGAGCAUGGCACCAGGAUUUGUUGUUGGUUUCUGGGCAGUCUGGGGUACCUUAAUACUUAACAAGAAUUGGAACCUUUACUAUUUCCGAUUUAUAGACAACAUGCUUGACAAAGUAUAUGUGUUUAUCGUACUGAAAGUUUCUAGGAUCAGAAAACGUUGUUGUUCCCAACAAGGAUGAUAAAUUUGAACAUCAAUAUCUGCUGUAUGAGAGUUCAUCUCGUUAAUAUCAUAUCAUCAGCUUGAAUAAAUUUUAAUACUUCUGGACUUCUAUACAAGUAAGUCAUGCACUCUCAAUUUUGAUCAUUUCUGUCUAGAUAGCAGUACCAUAUGAAGUGUUCUAAUCUUGGGGGAUUGCCAGAAAGCUUGCACCUUUUAAUUAGUUUUUCCAAAAUAGACACCCCUUUUUUAGUUGUUCAGUUUGGCAGAAAUGAAAGGAGG
rnacentral:lncRNA from 1 species